AUCCUCUCCGGUGAUCCCUGCUGUCUUCAAGCCUGCAAGGGGCCU
rnacentral:tRNA from 14 species